rnacentral:rRNA from 1 species
CAAGCUGGCGGCGUGCCUACACAUGCAAGUCGAGCGGGGACAUGCGACGGAGACAAGUUUUCGGAUGGAGUCAAAGAUGCAUUGUUCUAGCGGCGGACGGGUGAGUAACGCGUGAGCAACCUGUCCCUUACAGGGGGAUAACACAGCGAAAGUUGUACUAAUACCGCAUGAGACCACGGGUUCACAUGGACCAGGGGUCAAAGGAAGCAAUUCCGGUAAGGGGUGGGCUCGCGUCCGAUUAGAUAGUUGGUGAGGUAACGGCCCACCAAGUCGACGAUCGGUAGCCGACCUGAGAGGGUGAUCGGCCACAUUGGGACUGAGACACGGCCCAAACUCCUACGGGAGGCAGCAGUGGGGAAUAUUGGGCAAUGGGGGGAACCCUGACCCAGCAACGCCGCGUGAGGGAAGAAGGUUUUCGGAUCGUAAACCUCUGUCCUUGGUGAAGAGUAAGAGACGGUAGCCAAGGAGGAAGCCCCGGCUAACUACGUGCCAGCAGCCGCGGUAAU